rnacentral:lncRNA from 1 species
AAAUGGAGACUGAAGAAGUAAAGGAAUCACCAGAGUUCUAUGUCCUACCCUACUGCUGAUUGCUGAAGGCAGAGGUGACCCAGAGAAACACGUGUAUCCACCAGGCAUUGAGUCACAUCAAUGAGGACUGGAAGAAGGAGGAAAGGCUUAUGCGUGGUUCCCAGGAUGCUGAAGAGAAAGACAGGAGUGUGGAGGGGAAGGCAUGGCUCCCUUCGCUGCCUGGUCUGAGAGGCUGGACCUACAGUGAGAGGAAAUACAACCAGAGGUAAAGGAGGGUCAAUAAGACUUGGAGUACACAUAGUGGAGUGUUUCAAGGCUCUUGCAACCUAAUAAGGCACAGAGCAGAAGGAGAGCCAUUUUCCCAUGGUCUGCCAUAGGCCAGAGCAGCCCAGGGAAGCAAUUUGGACCAGGAAGUGUUGAAUUUUCACAAGGGCAUCUGCCA